CCUACGGGGGGCAGCAGUGGGGAAUAUUGGACAAUGGGGGGAACCCUGAUCCAGCCAUGCCGCGUGUGUGAAGAAGGCCCUCGGGUUGUAAAGCACUUUCAGUGAGGAAGAACGCCUGGUGGUUAAUACCCAUCAGGAAAGACAUCACUCACAGAAGAAGCACCGGCUAACUCCGUGCCAGCAGCCGCGGUAAUACGGAGGGUGCGAGCGUUAAUCGGAAUUACUGGGCGUAAAGCGCGCGUAGGUGGCUUGAUAAGCCGGUUGUGAAAGCCCCGGGCUCAAACUGGGAACGGCAUCCGGAACUGUCAAGCUAGAGUGCAGGAGAGGAAGGUAGAAUUCCCGGUGUAGCGGUGAAAUGCGUAGAGAUCGGGAGGAAUACCAGUGGCGAAGGCGGCCUUCUGGACUGACACUGACACUGAGGUGCGAAAGCGUGGGUAGCAAACAGGAUUAGAUACCCUUGUAGUC
rnacentral:rRNA from 1 species